rnacentral:rRNA from 1 species
GUAACAGGCCUUCGGGCGCUGACGAGUGGCGAACGGGUGAGUAACGCAUCGGAACGUGCCCAGUCGUGGGGGAUAACGCAGCGAAAGCUGUGCUAAUACCGCAUACGAUCUGCGGAUGAAAGCGGGGGACCUUAGGGCCUCGCGCGAUUGGAGCGGCCGAUGUCAGAUUAGGUAGUUGGUGGGGUAAAGGCCCACCAAGCCAACGAUCUGUAGCUGGUCUGAGAGGACGACCAGCCACACUGGGACUGAGACACGGCCCAGACUCCUACGGGAGGCAGCAGUGGGGAAUUUUGGACAAUGGGCGCAAGCCUGAUCCAGCAAUGCCGCGUGCAGGAAGAAGGCCUUCGGGUUGUAAACUGCUUUUGUACGGAACGAAAAAGUCCGGGUUAAUACCCUGGGCCCAUGACGGUACCGUAAGAAUAAGCACCGGCUAACUACGUGCCAGCAGCCGCGGUAAUACGUAGGGUGCAAGCGUUAAUCGGAAUUACUGGGCGUAAAGCGUGCGCAGGCGGUUGUGUAAGACAGGCGUGAAAUCCCCGGGCUCAACCUGGGAAUGGCGCUUGUGACUGCACAGCUCGAGUGCGGCAGAGGGGGAUGGAAUUCCGCGUGUAGCAGUGAAAUGCGUAGAUAUGCGGAGGAACACCAAUGGCGAAGGCAAUCCCCUGGGCCUGCACUGACGCUCAUGCACGAAAGCGUGGGGAGCAAACAGGAU